GAUGAACGCUGGCGGCGUGCCUAAUACAUGCCAGUCGAGCGAAUAGACGAGGAGCUUGCUCCUCUGACGUUAGCGGCGGACGGGUGAGUAACACGUGGAUAACCUACCUAUAAGACUGGGAUAACUUCGGGAAACCGGAGCUAAUACCGGAUAAUAUAUUGAACCGCAUGGUUCAAUAGUGAAAGACGGUUUUGCUGUCACUUAUAGAUGGAUCCGCGCCGCAUUAGCUAGUUGGUAAGGUAACGGCUUACCAAGGCAACGAUGCGUAGCCGACCUGAGAGGGUGAUCGGCCACACUGGAACUGAGACACGGUCCAGACUCCUACGGGAGGCAGCAGUAGGGAAUCUUCCGCAAUGGGCGAAAGCCUGACGGAGCAACGCCGCGUGAGUGAUGAAGGUCUUCGGAUCGUAAAACUCUGUUAUUAGGGAAGAACAAAUGUGUAAGUAACUAUGCACGUCUUGACGGUACCUAAUCAGAAAGCCACGGCUAACUACGUG
rnacentral:rRNA from 1 species